GUAAACAGGGUCCUUCUGGAGAGCUUAUGGUCUAGGUACACACUAGGAUCCAGGGGUUUGUUUUCCUUGAGGCCAUGCAAGAAUACCAAUGACAUCCAGGUGACAUAAAAGUCCCUGGCUUCUCUGACCAAUGAUUUACUUGGAAUGUCAGGAGUCUGGAGUAGGGGUGGCUUUUCUGCUCCGACUCUCCUUGCAACCUUCAGCGGGCCCAUAAAGGAGGUGCGACUAUGAAACCAAGCGGCGGACUCCGUCCCCACUGUGCAAGCCAUUGUCUCACCUGUCUAUAGUGCGUCAGGCUCUUCUGCCAGUUGAAGGGGCUACCCUGUGACCACCCUUCAGAGCUGGAGUCCUCUGGAAAACGGCUGGGGAACCCACAGUGCACCUCACCAAGUCUGCAACCCUUUCAGAAAUGAGAGUGACCCCUACCUUUUUUUGAAACAGAAUAUAGGAAGAAAAGGAGGAAGAGGAGGAGAAAAGAAGAAGGAGGAAGAGGAGAAGGAGAUGAUGAUGACUACCACUUCUGGGAACAAAGAAGUGGGGGAUACCCCAGUGGUACCAGACACAAUAACUUUUUUGCUGGUGUCUUGAAAAGAAAAAUCCAUUCUUCAUUCCCUGCUGUUUUCUCUACGGCAUUUGAAAUAAAAUUUCUCAUUCUGCCUAGACCUA